UUCUCCUACGGGGCGCAGCAGUGGGGAAUAUUGCACAAUGGGGGGAACCCUGAUGCAGCGACGCCGCGUGGGCGAUGGAGUAUUUCGGUAUGUAAAGCCCUAUCGGCAGGGAAGAAGCUGACAGUACCUGACUAAGAAGCCCCGGCUAACUACGUGCCAGCAGCCGCGGUAAUACGUAGGGGGCAAGCGUUAUCCGGAUUCACUGGGCGUAAAGGGAGCGCAGGCGGCACGGCAA
rnacentral:rRNA from 1 species